UCCUCAUUCUCAGCAAGCUGCUAGCUACUC
rnacentral:piRNA from 1 species